CAAGUCGAACGGGAUCCAUCAGGCUUUGCUUGGUGGUGAGAGUGGCGAACGGGUGAGUAAUGCGUGACCGACCUGCCCCAUACACCGGAAUAGCUCCUGGAAACGGGUGGUAAUGCCGGAUGCUCCGACUCCUCGCAUGGGGUGUCGGGAAAGAUUAUAUCGGUAUGGGAUGGGGUCGCGUCCUAUCAGGUAGUCGGCGGGGUAACGGCCCACCGAGCCUACGACGGGUAGCCGGCCUGAGAGGGCGACCGGCCACAUUGGGACUGAGAUACGGCCCAGACUCC
rnacentral:rRNA from 1 species